rnacentral:rRNA from 1 species
CCUACGGGUGGCUGCAGUAGGGAAUAUUGAACAAUGGGCGACAGCCUGAUCCAGCAACGCCGCGUGUGCGAUGACGGCCUUCGGGUUGUAAAGCACUUUUAGAGGAGAUGAGAAAGGACAGUAUCCUCUGAAUAAGCCUCGGCGAACUACGUGCCAGCAGCCGCGGUAAAACGUAGGAGGCUAGCGUUAUCCGGAUUUAUUGGGCGUAAAGCGCGUGCAGGCGGUCUAUCAAGUUGGAUGUGAAAGCUCCUGGCUUAACUGGGAGAGGUCGUUCAAAACUGAUAGUCUCGAGAAUGGUAGAGGGAGGUGGAAUUCCGGGUGUAGUGGUGAAAUGCGUAGAUAUCCGGAGGAACACCAGUGGCGAAAGCGGCCUCCUGGGCCAUUUCUGACGCUAAGACGCGAAAGCUAGGGUAGCAAACGGGAUUAGAUACCCGAGUAGUC